rnacentral:rRNA from 1 species
GACUCCGUGAAGCUGGAUUCGCUGUAAUCGCGCAUCAGCCAUGGCGCGGUGAAUACGUUCCCGGGCCUUGUACACACCGCCCGUCAAGCCAUGGGAGCCGGGGGUGCUUGAAGUGCGUCGCCGCAAGGCGCGCCCUAGAGCAAAACCGGUGACUGGGGCUAAGUCGUAACAAGGUACC